UGAGUAACACGUGAGCAACCUGCCCCUGACUCUGGGAUAAGCGCUGGAAACGGCGUCUAAUACUGGAUAUGUGACGUGACCGCAUGGUCUGCGUCUGGAAAGAAUUUCGGUUGGGGAUGGGCUCGCGGCCUAUCAGCUUGUUGGUGAGGUAAUGGCUCACCAAGGCGUCGACGGGUAGCCGGCCUGAGAGGGUGACCGGCCACACUGGGACUGAGACACGGCCCAGACUCCUACGGGAGGCAGCAGUGGGGAAUAUUGCACAAUGGGCGGAAGCCUGAUGCAGCAACGCCGCGUGAGGGAUGACGGCCUUCGGGUUGUAAACCUCUUUUAGCAGGGAAGAAGCGAAAGUGACGGUACCUGCAGAAAAAGCGCCGGCUAACUACGUGCCAGCAGCCGCGGUAAUACGUAGGGCGCAAGCGUUAUCCGGAAUUAUUGGGCGUAAAGAGCUCGUAGGCGGUUUGUCGCGUCUGCUGUGAAAUCCGGAGGCUCAACCUCCGGCCUGCAGUGGGUACGGGCAGACUAGAGUGCGGUAGGGGAGAUUGGAAUUCCUGGUGUAGCGGUGGAAUGCGCAGAUAUCAGGAGGAACACCGAUGGCGAAGGCAGAUCUCUGGGCCGUAACUGACGCUGAGGAGCGAAAGGGUGGGGAGCAAACAGGCUUAGAUACCCUGGUAGUCCACCCCGUAAACGUUGGGAACUAGUUGUGGGGUCCAUUCCACGGAUUCCGUGACGCAGCUAACGCAUUAAGUUCCCCGCCUGGGGAGUACGGCCGCAAGGCUAAAACUCAAAGGAAUUGACGGGGACCCGCACAAGCGGCGGAGCAUGCGGAUUAAUUCGAUGCAACGCGAAGAACCUUACCAAGGCUUGACAUAUACGAGAACGGGCCAGAAAUGGUCAACUCUUUGGACACUCGUAAACAGGUGGUGCAUGGUUGUCGUCAGCUCGUGUCGUGAGAUGUUGGGUUAAGUCCCGCAACGAGCGCAACCCUCGUUCUAUGUUGCCAGCACGUAAUGGUGGGAACUCAUGGGAUACUGCCGGGGUCAACUCGGAGGAAGGUGGGGAUGACGUCAAAUCAUCAUGCCCCUUAUGUCUUGGGCUUCACGCAUGCUACAAUGGCCGGUACAAAGGGCUGCAAUACCGCGAGGUGGAGCGAAUCCCAAAAAGCCGGUCCCAGUUCGGAUUGAGGUCUGCAACUCGACCUCAUGAAGUCGGAGUCGCUAGUAAUCGCAGAUCAGCAACGCUGCGGUGAAUACGUUCCCGGGUCUUGUACACACCGCCCGUCAAGUCAUGAAAGUCGGUAACACCUG
rnacentral:rRNA from 1 species